UACGGGGGGGUGCGAGCGUUUAUCCGGAUUCACUGGGUUUAAAGGGUGCGUAGGUGGGUUGAUAAGUCAGUGGUGAAAUCCCCGAGCUUAACUUGGGAACUGCCAUUGAUACUAUUGAUCUUGAAUACCGUGGAGGUCAGCGGAAUAUGUCAUGUAGCGGUGAAAAUGCUUAGAUAUACAUAGAACACCAAUUGCGAAGGCACUGGCUACGC
rnacentral:rRNA from 1 species